rnacentral:rRNA from 1 species
UUCCGGUUGAUCCUGCCGGAGGUCAUUGCUAUUGGAGUCCGAUUUAGCCAUGCUAGUUGCACGAGUUCAGACUCGUAGCAGAUAGCUCAGUAACACGUGGCCAAACUACCCUACAGAGCGCGAUAACCUCGGGAAACUGAGGCUAAUAGCGCAUACGGCUCUCACGCUGGAACUGCGGAGAGCUCGAAACGCCCCGGCGCUGUAGGAUGUGGCUGCGGCCGAUUAGGUAGACGGUGGGGUAACGGCCCACCGUGCCAGUAAUCGGUACGGGUUGUGAGAGCAAGAGCCCGGAGACGGUAUCUGAGACAAGAUACCGGGCCCUACGGGGCGCAGCAGGCGCGAAACCUUUACACUGCACGCCAGUGCGAUAAGGGGACUCCAGGUGCGAGGGCAUAUAGUCCUCGCUUUUGUACACCGUAAGGUGGUGUACGAAUAAGUGCUGGGCAAGAUCGGUGCCAGCCGCCGCGGUAAUACCGGCAGCACGAGUGAUGACCGCUAUUAUUGGGCCUAAAGCGUCCGUAGCUGGCCAGUCAAGUCCGUCGGGAAAUCUCCCCGCCCAACGGGGAGGCGUCCGGUGGAAACUGACUGGCUUGGGACCGGAAGACCAGAGGGGUACGUCCGGGGUAGGAGUGAAAUCCCGUAAUCCUAGACGGACCACCGGUGGCGAAAGCGCCUCUGGAAGACGGAUCCGACGGUGAGGGACGAAAGCUCGGGUCACGAACCGGAUUAGAUACCCGGGUAGUCCGAGCUGUAAACGAUGUCUGCUAGGUGUGACACAGGCUACGAGCCUGUGUUGUGCCGUAGGGAAGCCGUGAAGCAGACCGCCUGGGAAGUACGUCCGCAAGGAUGAAACUUAAAGGAAUUGGCGGGGGAGCACUACAACCGGAGGAGCCUGCGGUUUAAUUGGAUUCAACGCCGGA